rnacentral:rRNA from 1 species
CUCUGUGGGAUCAGUGGCGAACGGGUGAGUAACACGUGAGCAACCUGCCCCUGACUCUGGGAUAAGCGCUGGAAACGGCGUCUAAUACUGGAUACGAGUAGCGACCGCAUGGUCAGUUACUGGAAAGAUUUAUUGGUUGGGGAUGGGCUCGCGGCCUAUCAGCUUGUUGGUGAGGUAAUGGCUCACCAAGGCGUCGACGGGUAGCCGGCCUGAGAGGGUGACCGGCCACACUGGGACUGAGACACGGCCCAGACUCCUACGGGAGGCAGCAGUGGGGAAUAUUGCACAAUGGGCGCAAGCCUGAUGCAGCAACGCCGCGUGAGGGAUGACGGCCUUCGGGUUGUAAACCUCUUUUAGCAGGGAAGAAGCGAAAGUGACGGUACCUGCAGAAAAAGCGCCGGCUAACUACGUGCCAGCAGCCGCGGUAAUACGUAGGGCGCAAGCGUUAUCCGGAAUUAUUGGGCGUAAAGAGCUCGUAGGCGGUUUGUCGCGUCUGCUGUGAAAUCCGGAGGCUCAACCUCCGGCCUGCAGUGGGUACGGGCAGACUAGAGUGCGGUAGGGGAGAUUGGAAUUCCUGGUGUAGCGGUGGAAUGCGCAGAUAUCAGGAGGAACACCGAUGGCGAAGGCAGAUCUCUGGGCCGUAACUGACGCUGAGGAGCGAAAGGGUGGGGAGCAAACAGGCUUAGAUACCCUGGUAGUCCACCCCGUAAACGUUGGGAACUAGUUGUGGGGUCCAUUCCACGGAUUCCGUGACGCAGCUAACGCAUUAAGUUCCCCGCCUGGGGAGUACGGCCGCAAGGCUAAAACUCAAAGGAAUUGACGGGGACCCGCACAAGCGGCGGAGCAUGCGGAUUAAUUCGAUGCAACGCGAAGAACCUUACCAAGGCUUGACAUAUACGAGAACGGGCCAGAAAUGGUCAACUCUUUGGACACUCGUAAACAGGUGGUGCAUGGUUGUCGUCAGCUCGU